rnacentral:tRNA from 1 species
GCGGAUGUGGCGAAACUGGCAGACGCGCAAGAUUCAGGUUCUUGUGGGAUUAAUACCCCGUGGAGGUUCGAUUCCUCUCAUCCGCA